GCAUAUCAAUAAGCGGGAGGAAAAGAAACCAACCGGGAUUGCUCAGUAACGGCGAGUGAAGCGGCAAGAGCUCAAAUUUGAAAGCUGGCCCCUUCGGGGUCCGCGUUGUAAUUUGCAGAGGAUGCUUCGGGUGCGGCCCCUGUCUAAGUGCCCUGGAACGGGCCGUCAGAGAGGGUGAGAAUCCCGUCUUGGGCAGGGUGCCCGUGCCCGUGUGAAGCUCCUUCGACGAGUCGAGUUGUUUGGGAAUGCAGCUCUAAAUGGGUGGUAAAUUUCAUCUAAAGCUAAAUACCGGCCGGAGACCGAUAGCGCACAAGUAGAGUGAUCGAAAGAUGAAAAGCACUUUGAAAAGAGAGUUAAACAGCACGUGAAAUUGUUGAAAGGGAAGCGCUUGCGACCAGACUCGGCCCCGGGGUUCAGCCAGCACUCGUGCUGGUGUACUUCCCCGGGGGCGGGCCAGCGUCGGUUUGGGCGGCCGGUCAAAGGCCCCAGGAAUGUAUCGCCCUCCGGGGUUGUCUUAUAGCCUGGGGUGCAAUGCGGCCAGCCCGGACCGAGGAACGCGCUUCGGCACGGACGCUGGCGUAAUGGUCGCAAACGACCCGUCUUGAAACACGGACCAAGGAGUCUAACAUCUACGCGAGUGUUCGGGUGUCAAACCCGUACGCGCAGUGAAAGCGAACGGAGGUGGGAGCCCCCCCGGGGCGCACCAUCGACCGAUCCUGAUGUCUUCGGAUGGAUUUGAGUAAGAGCGUAGCUGUGGGGACCCGAAAGAUGGUGAACUAUGCCUGAAUAGGGCGAAGCCAGAGGAAACUCUGGUGGAGGCUCGCAGCGGUUCUGACGUGCAAAUCGAUCGUCAAAUUUGGGUAUAGGGGCGAAAGACUAAUCGAACCAUCUGGUAGCUGGUUCCUGCCGAAGUU
rnacentral:rRNA from 1 species